AGCAUGUACUUUACAUUUUCGAGAACAAGUUUUUAUCAAGGUUUUAUUCCGCAAACACUGUGUUCUAGACCUUUUGUAAUCCGAAUUUCUCUUUAUCUAUUCAGUAUUCAGUAUUUGUUCUUGAUUUUUGUUUACUAUU
rnacentral:sRNA from 1 species